UCUAAGUUAAUGUAGAUAACCAUUUGAAGGAUGGAAGAGUCAACAAUCUUUGAGGAAUCCAAACCUAAGAAACCCUGUGAGAAACGGUACUGCGAGAGGUUGAUGGUCUGGGAACUAAUCUAACUGUCAACUAGUUCCUGCUUAAACGUGAGGUAAAAGUUUGAGCUGCUCUGAAGCUUGGGAGGAACGACUACUCGGAGGAGGCUAGUACCACACUCACGCCCGCUUCUUGAGGUGGUGCCUUGUGGUCAGCCCCGCGUCUAUCACAGCCCCGACCACCUGGCGCUUCCGUCGCCGGUCCCUGCUCAGCACCCUCCGGCGCUUGAAUAACUUCUUCUUCAGCUCCUGAGGGAGAAAAAGAUGCGCAGCAGAGUUCCGCCUGGCGCAAAGGCUCCGCCCGCCUUGCACCCAUGGACCAAUCGCAAUGCGAGGGGAGGGGCGGACUCCGUGCUUACAUAAACGAAUUCCGCGGCCGUACCGGUCUUUCGAAGGACGUCUUUCAUGUCUGUGGAUGACGCCCCGGAGUGACAGCUAACGUCUUUCCUUUAGCGGUUUAUUGUUGAACCAGUAAAGUCUGUGAACCCUAA